AUGGCCAAGAUCAAGUCUCGAGACCUUCACAGGAAGAAGGAGGCGGAGCUGCUGAAACAGCUGGGCGACCUGAAGGUGGAGCGGUCCCAGCUGCGAGUCGCCAAAGUGACAGGCGGCGAGGCCUCCAAGCUCUCUAAGAUUCGAGUUGUCUGCAAGUCCGUUGCCCGUGUUCUCACCGUUAUUAACCAGACUCAGAAAGAAAACAUCAGGAAAUUCUGCAAGGGCAAGAGAUGCGAGCCCCUGACCCUGAGGCCUGAGAAGACUCACGCCAGGCGCCGCCGGCUCAACAAGCCGAGGAGAACCUGAAGACCAAGAAGCAGCAGCGUUAGGAGCGGCUGUACUCACUGCGG
rnacentral:lncRNA from 1 species